rnacentral:rRNA from 1 species
UACGAAGGGUGCAAGCGUUACUCGGAAUUACUGGGCGUAAAGCGUGCGUAGGUGGUGCGUUAAGUCUGUCGUGAAAGCCCCGGGCUCAACCUGGGAAUGGCGAUGGAUACUGGCGCGCUAGAGUGCAGUAGAGGAGAGUGGAAUUCCCGGUGUAGCAGUGAAAUGCGUAGAGAUCGGGAGGAACAUCAGUUGCGAAGGCGGCUCUCUGGACCAACACUGACACUGAGGCACGAAAGCGUGGGGAGCAAACAGG